GAGGGUAUGGCUCAGUUGUAGAGUGCAUGCCUAGCAUGCACAAGGUCCUAGGUUCAAUCCCCAGUACCUCCA
rnacentral:tRNA from 1 species